CCUACGGGAGGCAGCAGUGGGGAAUAUUGGACAAUGGGGGCAACCCUGAUCCAGCCAUGCCGCGUGUGUGAAGAAGGCCCUCGGGUUGUAAAGCACUUUCAGUGAGGAAGAACGCCUGGUGGUUAAUACCCAUCAGGAAAGACAUCACUCACAGAAGAAGCACCGGCUAACUCCGUGCCAGCAGCCGUGGUAAUACGGAGGGUGCGAGCGUUAAUCGGAAUUACUGGGCGUAAAGCGCGCGUAGGUGGCUUGAUAAGCCGGUUGUGAAAGCCCCGGGCUCAACCUGGGAACGGCAUCCGGAACUGUCAAGCUAGAGUGCAGGAGAGGAAGGUAGAAUUCCCGGUGUAGCGGUGAAAUGCGUAGAGAUCGGGAGGAAUACCAGUGGCGAAGGCGGCCUUCUGGACUGACACUGACACUGAGGUGCGAAAGCGUGGGUAGCAAACAGGAUUAGAUACCCCGGUAGUC
rnacentral:rRNA from 1 species